AUUAGGUGGUGCGGACAUUACCUAAGGAGAUCUUGUAAUCUUUCCCAAGUUUCAUAGAGUUGCUCCCCAUAGUUUUGUGAAAAACUAAGAAUAAAACGCCUCAUU